rnacentral:rRNA from 1 species
AUGCAGUCGUGCGAGAUCUCCUUUCGGGGAGAGGACAGCGGCGAAAGGGAGAGUAACGCGUGGUUACAUACCCUCGGGACCGGGAUAGUAGCGGGAAACUGCUAGUAAUACCGGAUAAUAUCUUUGGAUCAAAGGUGUGAUUCCGCCCGAGGAUUGGACCGCGUUCUAUUAGCUUGUUGGCGGGGUAAUGGCCCACCAAGGCGACGAUGGAUACCGGGUGUGAGAGCAUGGCCCGGCUCACUGGGACUGAGACACUGCCUAGACACCUACGGGUGGCUGCAGUCGAGAAUCUUCGGCAAUGGGGGCAACCCUGACCGAGCGACGCCGCGUGCGGGAUGAAGGCCUUCGGGUUGUAAACCGCUGUCAGUUGGGAGGAAGUAUUAGGGGGUUAUCCCCCUAGUUUGACCGAUCUGCAGAGGAAGGACGGGCUAAGUUCGUGCCAGCAGCCGCGGUAAGACGAACCGUCCGAACGUUAUUCGGUAUCACUGGGCUUAAAGCGUGCGUAGGCGGCCUGGUAGGUGGGAUGUGAAAGCCCACGGCUCAACCGUGGAAUUGCGUUUCAAACCACCAGGCUUGAGGACGGCAGGGGUGAUGGGAACUGAUGGUGGAGCGGUGAAAUGCGUUUACUAUCAUCAGGAACACCGGUGGCGAAUGCGCAUCACUGGGCCAUUUCUGACGCUGAGGCACGAAAGCUAGGGUAGCGAACGGGAUUAGAUACCCCGGUAGUCCUAGCUGUAGACGAUGAGCACUAGUUGAGGGACUUCCACAUCUUCUCGCCGU